rnacentral:rRNA from 1 species
ACAUGCAAGUCGAACGGUAACAGGAAGCAGCUUGCUGCUUCGCUGACGAGUGGCGGACGGGUGAGUAAUGUCUGGGAAACUGCCUGAUGGAGGGGGAUAACUACUGGAAACGGUAGCUAAUACCGCAUAACGUCGCAAGACCAAAGAGGGGGACCUUCGGGCCUCUUGCCAUCGGAUGUGCCCAGAUGGGAUUAGCUAGUAGGUGGGGUAACGGCUCACCUAGGCGACGAUCCCUAGCUGGUCUGAGAGGAUGACCAGCCACACUGGAACUGAGACACGGUCCAGACUGCCUACGGGAGGCAGCAGUGGGGAAUAUUGCACAAUGGGCGCAAGCCUGAUGCAGCCAUGCCGCGUGUAUGAAGAAGGCCUUCGGGUUGUAAAGUACUUUCAGCGGGGAGGAAGGGAGUAAAGUUAAUACCUUUGCUCAUUGACGUUACCCGCAGAAGAAGCACCGGCUAACUCCGUGCCAGCAGCCGCGGUAAUACGGAGGGUGCAAGCGUUAAUCGGAAUUACUGGGCGUAAAGCGUCACGCAGGCGGUUUGUUAAGUCAGAUGUGAAAUCCCCG